UACGUAGGUGGCAAGCGUUGUCCGGAAUUAUUGGGCGUAAAGCGCGCGCAGGCGGUCCUUUAAGUCUGAUGUGAAAGCCCACGGCUCAACCGUGGAGGGUCAUUGGAAACUGGGGGACUUGAGUGCAGAAGAGGAAAGCGGAAUUCCACGUGUAGCGGUGAAAUGCGUAGAGAUGUGGAGGAACACCAGUGGCGAAGGCGGCAUUCUGGACCGAUAUUGACGCUGAGGAGCGAAAGCCAGGGGAGCAAACGGG
rnacentral:rRNA from 1 species